rnacentral:sRNA from 1 species
AGGAAGGGCCUUUCAGGCAUCCUCUCCCAAAUGAACUAAAACGGCCGGUCCGACAUGGACCGGCCUUUUUUUUGCCCUGC